CUCCCACAUGCGCUCCCUCUCAUUCCCUUUCCCCUUCCCUCUUCUCUCUUCCAUAUCUUGAGCAGUAUCAAUAUAUAGUUCAGUCUGGCCUAUGGCGCAUCGAUAGUUCAAUCGGGCCUAUGGCAGCGGUGGUGGUGGAGUGGAGUGCGAGGAUUUAUUGCAAUAGAGCCUUGGGAGUAGGACCAGCGUUUGGUGGGAAAUGUAGGAGUUCCACCCUGCUAGUGCUGCCAUGGCACACCGUCCGAAUCAGCUCUGGCAGAUUAAGCUCUACCUGUUCCACACCACCAUGAGUGGAUAGAUCCGGUGGAACCCACGUGGUGGUGGCACUAGAUUUGGUGCGGCUGCUCUACCAUAUAGAAACCUCCCUCACAUGCCACUAGCAGGGAUUGGAGCGGGAGCCUACACGCAUGCGGCGGCACUUCAACUGAAGGUACUGUUCUUCUUCCUCCUCCGACUUGCGAUGGUGAUGGCUGCUGGGUUAGGAGAGGGGGGGAGGGGGGCUGUGGUGUUCGUCGGACGUAGAAGAAGGGGGAGGGGUGGUCGGAAAGGUCGGCGGCAGUGGCAGAUUGUCGGGCGGCAGCUUGACAGCCGGUGGGCUAGGGACCGGGCAGAGGAACUCGGGUCGAAGGCAGUGGUGGAACGUUAACAAAAAAGGAGGGCGAUUUGCCAAAAAAUGUUGUUAUUAGCAGGCUAUCAGCUAGACAAAUACUAGAUGUAUCAUGCUGCCUUGUUGAAUGCUUAAGAACUUGCACCAGGGGUGGACCCAGUUUCGCAUCCACUGGGCUCCGCUCUUGUUUGGAGGUGAUUAAGCAGCGGUAGAGGCGCCGAAGCUGACGGGGAAGGGUUUCUAUUUGUCGCUCUCUGCGAUUUGCGGCCAAUCCAUCGUAGAAGAUUCGGCAUUGCACUGCCACCCCCUCCUAAAGUCUAUUAGUGCGUCAUCCAUCGUUGCUGGCUCAGGUACUGCCAAAGGCAAUAACAACGGGACACAGCUAGAUCAGUAGAGUAACCACGUUGAGAAAAAAUAUGAUUUCAGUUAACAAUGUGUGUGAAUAGAGAUCAUAGAAUCAUGUUCGAAACAUUGUUUCUGAAAAUAAAGUCACGUAGGGAAUUCAUGAAUUUGGCAACAAUUCUAAUAACUUCAAAAGAGAAACUCCCUUCUUUCCAAGAAAGAUCCGAAUUGCCACUUGGUAGUGAUGCCCAUUCUAGUGGGAUUAAGUGGAGAGUUAGUUUCUCUCUAUGUUUGGCCAUGGUUUAUAAAGCUGUUCCAAGAUCUCUAGUAAUAGCCACAUCAUUGGUUAACUUUCUUGUCAUGGAAUAACCUGUUUAUCUAAGUUCAAGUCUCUAACUCAACAUGAUUGCUCGUAUUUAUGGUUAGUUAUUUUUUUAAUAGUAAGUGAUGUGCCCGUUCAUAGUGAGGUGGCUAUGGUAACUUCGUUGCUCUCAUGAUCUGUUGGCACCGUCUCUCGAUGAUUCUCAUACAUAGCGUAACAAGAAACUUUUGCUCAUCAUGUUUAUUAAUAAAAUUGGCAUGGAAGCUUUAUUGUCUCUCUUGGAAAAGUAAAAUGGGUGAUUACUUUUUUUACACGAAAGAUUGUAUAUGUAGAUAUUCAUGUAUAUGCAUGUACAAUCACUCUAUGGAUAUAAGCACACAUACCUUAUCCUGAGUAUCUACGAGAGAUUAUAUGCCAAUAGAUCUUGAGAUUAACGAAGUCACCACAAAUAUCUUAUUAUCGGCGGG